AGCUUUGCACAGUUGCAGUAUCGUAGCCAAUGAGGUUUAUCUGAGGUACGAUUAUUGCUAAUUGGAAAAAAAAAAAAGAAUGGAGUUCUGACAC
ensembl:snRNA U4 U4 spliceosomal RNA